GGCUCAGGAUGAACGCUAGCGGCAGGCUUAACACAUGCAAGUCGAGGAGCAUCGGGAGUAGCAAUACUGCCGGCGACCGGCGCAAGGGUGCGUAACGCGUGAGCAACAUGCCCGUACCAGGGGGGAUAAUCCAUGGAAACGUGGUCUAAUACCCCAUAGUAAUUAUGUAAGGCAUCUUAUAUAAUUUAAAGCUUUGGUGGAUACGGAUUGGCUCGCGUGACAUUAGCUGGAUGGUAAGGUAACGGCUUACCAUGGCUACGAUGUCUAGGGGUUCUGAGAGGAAGGUCCCCCCACACUGGAACUGAGACACGGUCCAGACUCCUACGGGAGGCAGCAGUGAGGAAUAUUGGACAAUGGAUGGAAAUCUGAUCCAGCCAUGCCGCGUGCAGGAAAGACGGCCCUAUGGGUUGUAAACUGCUUUUGUAUGGGAGCAAUAAGGGCUACGUGUAGUCCGAUGAGAGUACCAUACGAAUAAGCACCGGCUAACUCCGUGCCAGCAGCAGC
rnacentral:rRNA from 1 species